rnacentral:pre_miRNA from 1 species
CUCUAGAGGGAAGCACUUUAUCUUGUGUGAAAGGAAAGAAAGCGCUUCCCUUCAGAGGA